rnacentral:rRNA from 1 species
CACCUACGGGGGGCAGCAGUGGGGAAUAUUGCACAAUGGGGGAAACCCUGAUGCAGCGACGCCGCGUGAGUGAAGAAGUAAUUCGUUACGUAAAGCUCUAUCAGCAGGGAAGAGAAUGACGGUACCUGAGUAAGAAGCCCCGGCUAACUACGUGCCAGCAGCCGCGGUAAUACGUAGGGGGCAAGCGUUAUCCGGAUUUACUGGGUGUACAGGGAGCGUAGACGGCAGAGAAAGUUUGAAGUGAAAGCCCGCGGCUCAACCGCGGAACUGCUUUUGAAACUUUUCUUCUAGAUCACCG